CUAUUACUUCAUGUGCUCCAGACUUCUAGUCUUAAUCAAUCAUUAAUUGUCAUUACUGUUAUAGCUGUCUGUCGCUCUACACUAUAAAGAAAAAUGGUAAAUAUGCGGAUGUUAACAGUCUGUGCUGUCUUGAUUACUUUUUCUUUCUUGAUCGUGAAUGUCAGGCUUAAUUCCAUAGAAAAAAGGUAAGACAUUUAAUUAUAUGUUAUACAAAUUGGGGACUGGAGAAUAAAAAACAAAGGACAAAGUAAAAUUGAGAAAGGAAAUGGGGAAUGUGUCUAAGCGACAACAACCCGACCAUAGAGCAGACAACAGCCGAAGGCCACCAAUGGGUCUUCAAUGUAGCGAGAAACUCCCGCACCCGUAGGCGUCCUUCAUCUGGCCCCUUAAAAAAUAUGUAUACUAGUACAGUGAUAAUAGGUCAUACUAAACUCGAGAUAUGAUAACCUAAGAAUUUUACACCAAAAAGUUCACUUUUUUUAAGAGUAUUUUACAAUGUUUUACAUGCUUUAUGCUGGUGAAACUUUCAACAUGAUAAUAACAAAUAAUUCUCCUCUAGUGUAAAGUUUACACUAUCGUUUAAUUCAAAUAUUAAAAGUAACCUUCUGCUUGGGUAGCUUCAUAAAUGUAGUCGAAUGGUACCCAACUAUUUUGAAUUAAAGAUUGUGUCUGUACCAAGCGAGUCUGCAGUUUAGUUGCUCAUUGUUUCAUAUAUUUAUUUUUCGUAAAUUAUUUUUUAUAAAUUAAGCCGUUAAUUUUUUUGUAAAAUGAAAAAUAUGUGUGCCUCUAAAAACAAUAUGUCUAGUAACUUUUAUGUAAGCAAAGAUCAAAGAGCACGAUUGCUGUUUCAUUUUUUAUUUUCUUAAAUUCAAAUUAAGACUUUCUGACAGUCUGAAAAUAUAGCUCUCUGACCAUUCUGACAUUUUUCGUGUUUGUCAACGUGUUAGUUUGACCUUUAAUCAUGGUAAUUUUAAAUAUGAAAUUCUAAUAAUUUCGUCAUUACAUUUUAUGUACAUGCUUUUAAAGCAGUUGUCCAUUAAACUGAUAAUGAAAGUUUAAACGAGUAUUAAAUAUAUCUAAGUAAUUUUUCAAUUCAUUCUACAUGUGAUGUAGGCAGUUAUAUUUUGAUCCGCUGAUGUAAAUUAUCCUUAUAAAUUUGCCGUAAUAAAACUGUUUUGCUCUUAAUCAAUAUAACUUGAAUGUGGUUUUGACAGAUUUCGUUCGAUUUUAAGAUUUUCCUUCUACUCCUAGCUACUGAUACCUAUAUACAUUUUACAUUAACUUUAUAAUAAAUUAUAUUGUUCUACUACAGAGUUAGCAUUCUAUUGUGCGUUUUGUAGAAACAUUGUUAAUGUAAACUCCAAAUUAAUUCAAUAUAUGUAAAUUAAAAGUAUAUCAGUCUUGUCCAUUCGCAUUUUUAUUAUCAUCGAAAGAUAUGUGUUUUGAAUUGUGUCAAUUUCCAGUAAAGCAUGGCAUUUGUUAUUUUGCUUUAUCAUUUUUUCCAUGUUCAGAAGCGUAUACAGGGGGAAAUAAAGUUUCUGCAUCGAAUUACCUCAAAUUUUGAAAGUAGACGUUUUUGCGCAUUCUGCACUUUUUAUUGAUAAAAUUCAUAGCUGUAAUUUUAUCACUUAAAAUGGUAUGUAAUAUUUUGUAAUUUGAAUCAUGUACAUUUUAUAUGAUAAGUUCAAUAUUUGAAUUGAUACGUAUUCUUCAUGAACAUUCUGUAUGUCAGGUUCAUUGGUUAUAAUUUGUGUGUAAAUGAUUAAGAAAGUGAAGCAGAGACGGAAUUAACCACCCGACGUUUUUGGUACUAGUUCAAUCCAUUUCACUAGGUUUACAGUCUCUUUUUGACCUUUUUAAAUGCAAAUCAAUUUAAAGCAUUGAAACUAUCAUUGCCACAUGUACAGUGACAACUAUAAUAAAAACAAGAUCACAUAUGUGUUUGUAUUCGUCAAGUUUUUACAAAGGCACAUGUCCCUGGAAAAAAAUAUACUUAUAUACUUACAUAACGUUUUUUUCAAAGACAAGUGCCUAUGCGAUUUUAUCAUGAAAUAAGACAUUUUAUCGGUGAGACGCAUUCACUUUUCGUUUUACUUUGCCAUAUACAAUAUAGGUUCUUAUUCUAUUAAAAUGUGAUGUGUUUCUUGACUUUCUUUCUCUGAUUUUAAAAUAAUUACUUUAUUCAACAUUUUAGGACACCAGUUAAAAAGCAGUCACAAGACGUAUUUAAAGGCAUUCGUCGUGUCUGUGAUAAAGACGAGAACAAUGUAUUGAGUCGUUCGGAACGGGCAUGUGUGCGCAGAUUUAUGAGUAUGGUCAUGGGCUGAGAAGAGAGUAACCGUUACAAUAUUUAAAGCGUAAUUAUCAAUCUUAAUGUACAUAAUUUUCGUUUCUGAAGGUAUGUAGUAGUCUUUUUCAAGCUCACCUGACCCAUAGGCUCUAUAAAUUAGAUAUGUUUUGUUCAGAAAAAAGGUAGCUAUGCAUGUAGAUGAAUUGAGAUGGUUCUACAAUAUGCUUUGAAAAUAUCCAUUACUGCUUCUUACUAUCAAUUCUUUUUCCAUAUUUUCGCAGACUAAGCAUGUAAAGUUGGGUUUUUUUAUUCCGAUUUAAAAGUUUAUUUUAUUGAUUUUGUAUAUAAUUGUGUCAUAGAUUCGUUCAGCUAGUGUAUGUUCACGUGUGUUUAUAUUUUUUUUUUUGGUCGAGUUAAGCCAUUUUAUUAAUAUUGAUAUUUUAUAGUGUGUCUUUCUAUGUUGAGAUGCAACACUAUUGUUUCAGAUAAGGGUGAAGGUUGGUACCUAUUAAAACGUGUAAACCCGUUGCAUUCGUUUGUACAUGUUAUAAGUCUGGAACCUAAUGUUCAGUAGUUGUCGUUUGUUUAUGUUGUUCAUACGUGUUUCUCGUUUUUCAUUUUUAUAUAGAUAAGACCGUUGGUUUUCGCGUUUGAAUUGUUAUAAAUUACACUAAUCAUGUUUGGAGCCCUUGAAAGCUUGUUGAACGGUGUGUGUCAAGGCUCCGUGUUGAAGGCCGUACUUUGACCUAUAAUGGUUUACUUUUAAUGAUUGUGACUUGGAUGGAGAGUUGUCUCAUUGGUACUCAAACCACAUCUUCUUACAUAUAUGUAAACAUAACAACACAGAUCAAUACUAGACUAAUUACCCGGCCACGUCAACUUGUAUUUUUGUCCAUCUGAUGAGUUAAGCCUUUUUCAACUGAUUUUUAUAGUUCGUUCUUAUGUUGUACUGUUAUUCCACUGUCCCAGGUUAGGGGAGGGUUGGGAUCCCGCUAACAUGUUUAACCCCGCCACAUUAUUUAUGUGUGUGCCUGUCCCAAGUCAGGAGCCUGUAAUUCAGUGGUUGUCGUUUGUUUAAAUGUUAUAUAUUUGUUUUUCGUUAAUUUUUUUACAUAAAUAAGGCCGUUAGUUUUCUCGUUUGAAUUUUUUUACAUUGUCUUGUCGGGGCCUAUUAUAGCUGACUAUGCGGUAUGGGCUUUGUUCAUUGUUAAAGGCCGUACGGUGACCAAUAGUUGUUAAAGGGAAAUUCCGCGAUUUUUUACUUAUCAUCUAAUUAUGUUCAUCUUAACAUAAAAAACACAUUUGCAAAGUUUUAAAUUUAUAUUCCUUCUAAUAACGGAGAAAAUCAAGUAUUUGUAACUUUUUUGGUUGAAUUCUCGAGUGGGUCGUGACGUAUUAGCCCGAUUUAUUGAAUUCUGGGAAAAAAUAAAAUCUGUUUAACUCUUAUAGCUUAUCGACAAUAUACGUAAUUAAAAGCGCACAGCUGACGAAUGGUCGAAGUUAUUAACCACAAUAUAAGAAUGAACGAAAAUGAAUAUGCAUAUACCGUUUUGUAUUGAUUGAAUUAAACUCCUAUAAAAUUAUCUCUAGUAAAUGUUUUUGAAUAAAUUUAAUUAAUUAUUGUUGAGAUUUUUUUCAUAAAAUAUUUAUUGAACAUUUUUACUGUUAUUGAACUGAAAAUAUUUCAGUUCUAUUUACCGUUAUUGUUUUGAUAAUCAUUUCAAUGCAACUAAUUUGUGAGCAGAGUGUGUAUAUUAUUUUGUAAAGGUCACUGUAUAUUUCUCGGCUUGAGGUCAAUUCGUUUACCUUGUAGCUAUUUAGCCGCAGGUGUGAGUUCAAGCGUACACAGGUAUAAAUGUUGUUAUUUGGAAAGGAUAAACGGAAAGGAUUAGAAAGAGUAUGCUGUCACGAUGUUAAUACACUAAGAUUUAAUACACGAUGAGAAUAAAGAUACAAUAAUUAAAUUGUGUAAAUUAAUUGAAAAUAAAAUUCAGAUUCGUAAUUCCGAAAGUGUAUAAAAAUAAAAGGAAACAAUUUUUGAUUACUUUCUUAGCGGCAAUUGGCGUAAAGAUUCAAAUAUGAAGCAAAAAAUAGUAGUUUUAAUCUUUUAUAAAAACUAAAUGCAAUAUUACCCAAUUUGAUAUACCAUUGUACAUCUGUUUGAUAUCAUUGACUUUACCGGAAUUUCUUAACUUGUAUUCAAAUCUGGCUGUGUUUAAAUGCUAAUAAAACUAUUGCAAUUUUAAAGUUUUUUAAUUGACAAAAAAAAUACAACAUACAACAUGCAUGAUUUUUUUUUUAGUUUCUUUUUAACAUUUUAUUCUUACAUAAUUAAAUUCAUUUGACAAUCAUUUACACGAACUUUUUGUGAAAAGAAUAUCAAUUAUCUAAGCUAAGGCAUUAUUUCUUUUGAGGAUUUUUGAGGAUUUUUUUUUAAAUUCUAUGAUAAUAUUUGUGCAAUGUUGAACAUGAUAGCCGUCAUUAAUCCAAAUAAGUAAUACAGUAGUUGUAAUAAAAGUUAUAUUUUAGUCAUGCAUAACUGAUAUUGACGAAUUUAUAAUAGUUCGUCCAUACAUCGUUGUUCUUGAAACAAUCAUUAUUAGUAUACAUGUAAGUUUCCUGACGUAUAAGAGCCAUUGAGGAUGAGCUCCAGAGAAAUCAGACUAGUGGCGUUUCGUUCGUUUGUUUGUUGGGAAAGGAGAGGAAAUGCAACCGCUUGUACAGAUAAACGACAGAAUUACCAUACAAGCAUUUAUAGUCAACACAAUCAGAAAGAGUUCCCAUCGUUAGACGGGGAAUAUGAAGGCUUCCAAGAAUGAACAAGUGACAUGUCUAACUCUGAACAGUUAGAAAACAGACUAUCGACAUCGACCGUGUCAUUUUAGUCUUUUGUGGAUAGUUGUCUCAUUGGCAAUCAUACCACAUCUUCUUUUUUAUAUUACCCUUACAACAUGAUGAAAUAACAAAGCACAAAUUUACUGGCAAAUGUCGUUGAAACAUCAAUAUUUUAAAAGUUAUUUCUUAAACUUUGGCGCUGAAUUCCAACAAUUAAAACCAGAAUUUGAUAUUACAACAUCAGUAGAUAUUAUUUUUGUAUUUUCUUUUUCAGAUUUACAUUAAGGAAAGACUACUCAAGGACAGAUACAGUAUUUAACGACAUUUUUCAACUCAGUUUCAAAUCUGCAAUCACUAAAGUCAUAUUCAAUUUGCAUUCUGAGAUAGAUAUACGAAACAUUUUAGUACUUGUAUUCUGUAUUUCAUUCAACCUGUGGAUAUUCCGGACAAUGGUUGUAUCUCAUUCUGAAAAAUCAUGUUAUUUCAAAAGCAGAUUCAUUUUUGGAAAAUAUUUGAAUUAAUAAAAUGUGUUGCAUGCAUCUUGGUUUCUAGUGGAAAUUUUGGAUAUCUCAUGUCAAUAUGUCGUACUGUGGCAUCUAAUUAUUAGUAAACUAUUAAUGUUUACAGAUUCGUAAAAACUGACAUUUUGUCAGAUAGCAUGCACAUUUUGAUCUUACUUGCCAAAUAAAAGCCUAAACAUUCGAUUUCACUUCGUUUAAUCUUAAAUACCAAUAAGACACUUGCUAGAUUAAACAUAUUUAUUUAUAGUGGAUUGGGGAAACAAGUUAUUACAACUUAUAUUAAUCCCUUUCCACUUUACAGGUGCGAGUGCUGCCUUGUAGCGGCAUUGCUCAGCUCUUUUUCAAAAUCUACAAGGAUGUCUUUUACGUGCAAG
rnacentral:lncRNA from 1 species